GGUGGCUUAGUGAUAGGGUGCUUGCCUUGCAUGCAAGAGGCCCUGGGUUCAAUUCCUCAGCACCA
rnacentral:tRNA from 1 species